rnacentral:rRNA from 1 species
UAGGAUUAGAUACCCUGGUAGUCCACACCGUACAACGAUGAGUGCUAGGUGUUUGAGGGUUUCCGCCCUUAAGUGCCGCAGCUAACGCAUUAAGCACUCCGCCUGGGGAGUACGACCGCAAGGUUGAAACUCAAAGGAAUUGACGAGGACCCGCACAAGCGGUGGAGCAUGUGGUUUAAUUCGAAGCAACGCGAAGAACCUUACCAGGUCUUGACAUCCCUUGACAACUUCCAGAGAUGGAGCGUUCCCUUCGGGGACAAGGUGACAGGUGGUGCAUGGUUGUCGUCAGCUCGUGUCGA